UUGACCUCGGAUCAGGUAGGGAUACCCGCUGAACUUAAGCAUAUCAAUAAGCGGAGGAAAAGAAACCAACAGGGAUUGCCCCAGUAACGGCGAGUGAAGCGGCAAGAGCUCAAAUUUGAAAGCUGGCUCCUUCGGGGUCCGCAUUGUAAUUUGCAGAGGAUGCUUCGGGAGCGGUCCCCAUCUAAGUGCCCUGGAACGGGACGUCAUAGAGGGUGAGAAUCCCGUAUGGGAUGGGGUGUCCGCGCCCGUGUGAAGCUCCUUCGACGAGUCGAGUUGUUUGGGAAUGCAGCUCUAAAUGGGUGGUAAAUUUCAUCUAAAGCUAAAUAUUGGCCGGAGACCGAUAGCGCACAAGUAGAGUGAUCGAAAGAUGAAAAGCACUUUGAAAAGAGAGUUAAAAAGCACGUGAAAUUGUUGAAAGGGAAGCGCUUGCGACCAGACUCGCUCGCGGGGUUCAGCCGGCAUUCGUGCCGGUGUAUUUCCCCGCGGGCGGGCCAGCGUCGGUUUGGGCGGUCGGUCAAAGGCCCUCGGAAGGUAACGCCCCUAGGGGCGUCUUAUAGCCGAGGGUGCAAUGCGACCUGCCUAGACCGAGGAACGCGCUUCGGCUCGGACGC
rnacentral:rRNA from 1 species